rnacentral:rRNA from 1 species
CACGUAGGGUGCGAGCGUUGUCCGGAAUUAUUGGGCGUAAAGAGCUUGUAGGCGGUUUGUCGCGUCUGCUGUGAAAUUUCGGGGCUCAACCCCGACUUGCAGUGGGUACGGGCAGACUAGAGUGUGGUAGGGGGAGACUGGAAUUCCUGGUGUAGCGGUGAAAUGCGUAGAUAUCAGGAGGAACACCGGCGGUGUAGGACGGCUUUCUGGGACCAUUACUGACGCUGAGAUACGAAAGCGUGGGUAGCAAACAGG